GACGAACGCUGGCGGCGUGCCUAAUACAUGCAAGUAGGACGCAGUUGUGAACGGGGGAGUAACGCGUAGGUAACUACCUAUUAGAGGGGGAUAACUAUUGGAAACGAUAGCUAAUACCGCAUACUAGUAGAUGGACCUGCGUUGUAUUAGCUAGUAGGUAGGGUAAUGGGCUACCUAGGCAACGAUACAUAGCCGACCUGGGAGGGGGAUCGGCCAAACUGGGACCGGGACAAGGGCCAGACCCCUUCGGGAAGGAAGAGGAGGGGAAUUUUGGCAAUGGGGGGAACCCUGGACGGGGAACGCCGCGGGAGGGGAGAAGGUUUUCGGGUCGUAAAGCUCUGUUGUUAAGGGAGCGGUACUUAACCAGAAAGGGACGGCUAACUACGUGCCAGCAGCCGCGGUAAUUC
rnacentral:rRNA from 1 species